AUCCUGGAUCUUCUGGCGCUUUCCCAGGUUUAGGCCUGCUGGGUAUGAUACGUGCAGCUGGCCUUUGGCAUCGAGGUUACAGCCCUUCCUACAGCGAGAAGGGUCCUAGAGUACAGAGCACGCGACUGAAGAUAGACAUGUUGCAGCCCAGGAAUUUUAUCUGGAUGCCGUAUAGCUCCCCCGGUGUACUUCAGGUUGUGCAUCCGGAGACGUUGGAGCCUCGACACAUGGCGGUUUGGCGGUCUGUCACGUCGCUUAUAUACUUUGCCGUUGUAGAGUGACAUCAGGUAGAUAGGGUUCUACCUCAGUUCGGUGGUGUGCAGCCCCUCCCGCG